AAUAUGUGCCCCCUCAAUUAUCAUUCUGGCUACGGCACUGCUGCAAUUGUUAUGCCGAUCAUAACUAAUUAAUUAGAUACCAAAUAAUUAUAUUUCUUUUUUCUUUUUUUUACAAAUUUAGGGAAAUCAUGGUGCAUGAGAUAACUGUUCAUACAAUAAUUGUACAAUACAAUACCAUGGAUUGACAGGGUGACAGGUGUAACAAAUAUGACUUACAUAAAUUGGUUAUCAUUCCAUGUUUCACACACCAAUAUGGGUUAGGUAUUAGGGUUAAGGUUGGGGUUAGGGUGUGUAUAUAUGUGUAUGGAGGUAUCUAGUGAACUUUUCAAUACACU